GACGAACGCUGGCGGCGUGCUUAACACAUGCAAGUCGAACGGUAAGGCUCCAGCUUGCUGGGGUACACGAGUGGCGAACGGGUGAGUAACACGUGGGUGACCUGCCCUGCACUUCGGGAUAAGCCUGGGAAACUGAGUCUAAUACCGGAUAGGACCGCACCGUGAGGGUGUGGUGGAAAGUUUUUUCGGUGUGGGAUGGGCCCGCGGCCUAUCAGCUUGUUGGUGGGGUAAUGGCCUACCAAGGCGGCGACGGGUAGCCGGCCUGAGAGGGUGGACGGCCACAUUGGGACUGAGACACGGCCCAGACUCCUACGGGAGGCAGCAGUGGGGAAUAUUGCACAAUGGGCGGAAGCCUGAUGCAGCGACGCCGCGUGGGGGAUGACGGCCUUCGGGUUGUAAACUCCUUUCACCAUCGACGAAGGGUUUCUGACGGUAGAUGGAGAAGAAGCACCGGCUAACUACGUGCCAGCAGCCGCGGUAAUACGUAGGGUGCGAGCGUUGUCCGGAAUUACUGGGCGUAAAGAGCUCGUAGGUGGUUUGUCGCGUCGUCUGUGAAAUUCCGGGGCUUAACUCCGGGCGUGCAGGCGAUACGGGCAUAACUUGAGUACUGUAGGGGAGACUGGAAUUCCUGGUGUAGCGGUGAAAUGCGCAGAUAUCAGGAGGAACACCGGUGGCGAAGGCGGGUCUCUGGGCAGUAACUGACGCUGAGGAGCGAAAGCAUGGGGAGCGAACAGGAUUAGAUACCCUGGUAGUCCAUGCCGUAAACGGUGGGCGCUAGGUGUGGGUUUCCUUCCACGGGAUCCGUGCCGUAGCUAACGCAUUAAGCGCCCCGCCUGGGGAGUACGGCCGCAAGGCUAAAACUCAAAGGAAUUGACGGGGGCCCGCACAAGCGGCGGAGCAUGUGGAUUAAUUCGAUGCAACGCGAAGAACCUUACCUGGGCUUGACAUAUACAGGAUCGCGCCAGAGAUGGUGUUUCCCUUGUGGCUUGUAUACAGGUGGUGCAUGGUUGUCGUCAGCUCGUGUCGUGAGAUGUUGGGUUAAGUCCCGCAACGAGCGCAACCCUUGUCUUAUGUUGCCAGCACGUUGUGGUGGGGACUCGUAAGAAACUGCCGGGGUUAACUCGGAGGAAGGUGGGGAUGACGUCAAAUCAUCAUGCCCCUUAUGUCCAGGGCUUCACACAUGCUACAAUGGUCGGUACAGUGGGUUGCCAGUCCGUGAGGGCGAGCUAAUCCCGCAAAGCCGGUCUCAGUUCGGAUCGGGGUCUGCAACUCGACCCCGUGAAGUCGGAGUCGCUAGUAAUCGCAGAUCAGCAACGCUGCGGUGAAUACGUUCCCGGGCCU
rnacentral:rRNA from 1 species